CAAUAAGUGUUCAAUGGCACUUUUAAAAAUCCAUUACCCACCUUGUGUGCAAUGUAAGGAGGAGGGGUGUCAUGCCUCUCUUUCCAUUAUACAUACCAAUCUUCUCUUGUUGUCUACUUUUUGAGUAUAAAAAACUCGAAUA
rnacentral:misc_RNA from 1 species